AUAGGAGUGUAUUCCCCAAUGCAGGAAACUCUAAAAGUAAACUCUGUAAAUUUGUUUACAUUCCCAAUGUCAGCUAAAGCUGGAGUACAGCUGGAUUAAAAUGGAAUGUGAUGCUUAUACUACCACCAGAUAGACUAAGACUCCUUACAGGUGUGCUGUGGAGUUUGCAUCAGAUCUUAGAUUUGCUAUUUUCAGUAAGAACUCUCAUCACAGGAAAGGAGUGAAGACUGCUUCUGUUAGUAUAUCUCACAGACGUACAACUAAGCCAUUUGCAGAUUUUACAAAUCAGAGAUCAAAGGAUUCAAAGAAACAACAAACUGGAAGGUGAAUGGUGACCUGCUGCUGGUCUGAAUGUAUAGAAUUUAUAGAAGAAGAUUGAAGCUUGUAUAGUGGAACAAUUUGAAAUUGCCUCGGGGUGUUAAAUUCCACUGAAAAAGGUAAAUAGGUUUUGCCUAUAUUAUGGAUCUUUGUCCAAAGAGUGAUUUAAGGUGGUAGUUGCCUUUUUUGUUAAGAAAGUAUACUGUUUUUGUAAUUUCCUGGUGGCGAUAAACUCCACUGAAAAAGAUUGCACCUUGUAUAGUGGAACAAUUUGUAAUUGCCUAGGGGUGUUAAACUCCACUGAAAAAGGUAAAUAGGUUUUGCCUGUAUUAUGGAGCUUUGUUCAAUGAGUGAUUUAAGGUGUUGUCCUUUC